rnacentral:rRNA from 1 species
CCCUUAGAUGUCCGGGGCCGCACGCGCGCUACACUGAUACAUGCAACGAGUUUAUAACCUUGAUCUGACGGUCUGGGUAAUCUUCAAACUGUGUCGUGUUAGGGAUCGAUUCUUGCAAUUUUUAAUCGUAAACGAGGAAUUCCUAGUAAACGCAAGUCAUCAGCUUGCAUUGAUUACGUCCCUGCCCUUUGUACACACCGCCCGUCGACUCUACCGAUUGAAUGGUUCGGUGAAAACUUUGGACUGUGGCAUUGUCCUUCAUUGGACUUCGCCGUAGGAAAUUGUUUAAACCUCAUCAUUUAGAGGAAGAAUAAGUCGUAACA